CACGAAUUUCUGGUAGUUGUCGACAUCUAUUUAACAACGAUAUCUGUUGGAAAUCAAGAAAGUCCACGAUUUCUAAGGAAGUAUUCGUCGACACCCCCUGUAUCAAUUUCAAAAUAAAUCUCUAUUCCAGCCUUUUACAUCAAUUUUACAACUUACUUGUGUCAAAAUACCGAUUUUUGAGAUACCCUGAAACUGGCGGAGGUCCGCAAGGCGGCCUGACAUCUGUCUCAUGAUGAGCACUGGCAAAACAGUGCGUUUCUCUUCGAUCUUCCCUGGGAAAGAUUUCCUUUUCAUCAGGAAGAAAUGCAUUUACACAGGUCUUGUAUACGCACUCUUGAUUGUGGUCAUGAGAGAACGAGUGUCUGCUGGACAUGAUCUUGCUCUUCUAAAAUUGGAAAGCUUGGCCGGUCAAAUUGAAAUCUGAAGUUAUUUUGAUAAAACUACGCAGUAUGCAAGUUUGACAGUCAGGGCAACACUAGCCGUAGCCAACCAGAGACCCGGCAAAGCUUGCGAUCCUGGCAGAACAUUCGGUCGCCGCCGCGUGAGAGGACUGCACCAAAACAGUCCGUUGCCUUAGGAUGUUCCACUGACGAAUGCAUGCCCAUUUGGUGAACCUCCAUACUGCGUAGACACAGUAAAGGAUCGUGUUGCGCACCUUGCCAAGUUACUGGUCU
rnacentral:lncRNA from 1 species